ACGAACGCUGGCGGCGUGCCUAAUACAUGCAAGUAGAACGCUGAAGGAGGAGCUUGCUUCUCUGGAUGAGUUGCGAACGGGUGAGUAACGCGUAGGUAACCUGCCUGGUAGCGGGGGAUAACUAUUGGAAACGAUAGCUAAUACCGCAUAAUAGUAGAUGUUGCAUGACAUUUGCCUAAAAGGUGCAAUUGCAUCACUACCAGAUGGACCUGCGUUGUAUUAGCUAGUUGGUGGGGUAACGGCUCACCAAGGCGACGAUACAUAGCCGACCUGAGAGGGUGAUCGGCCACACUGGGACUGAGACACGGCCCAGACUCCUACGGGAGGCAGCAGUAGGGAAUCUUCGGCAAUGGACGGAAGUCUGACCGAGCAACGCCGCGUGAGUGAAGAAGGUUUUCGGAUCGUAAAGCUCUGUUGUAAGAGAAGAACGAGUGUGAGAGUGGAAAGUUCACACUGUGACGGUAUCUUACCAGAAAGGGACGGCUAACUACGUG
rnacentral:rRNA from 1 species